UUGAGUAAGGGGUGACUUAUGGAAGAUGGUAAAUAGGGUGGUGUGGAUUACUAAGUAACUAAACGGUUUCUUCACAUAUGUUUGUGUAUUAAAAAAAUAAUAAAUAAAAAUAACCCGGUCCGCCGAGGCCUGGUCCGCGUAGGUCCUGUCUUCAUUUUACAAAGACCCGCUCCCAUUAUUGAUAAAAAUUUCUGAAGUAAUCAAGCAGUGCUCAUGCGCACACAACUAAUAUGCAGAUAAACGUAACGUAUACAAUUUUUACUCUUACGCCUAAGUUCUUUACCAAAUCAUCAGAUGUUUUUGAAAAUAGACAAACAAGACAUGAUAUCGCCUUUUUUUUAAAUAUGAUUUUCUAGUAAAGAAAGACUAGGACUCAAAACGGUAUGUUCUUAUCGGGAUUAGGAUACCUGUGGAAAGUCACGCAUUUUCAUCUGGCAGACCGCUGAUCAGUUGUUGUCAUCUGAAACCAGACUCGUGUUCAAGUACUUGACCUUUGCAUUGAAAUUAAUCUUACAAAUCGGCUUUUUCCCUAGAAACCUCUUGGCAGAAGUAACUUCCAAGGAUGAACCAAGACAACUAUACAGCAUCUGAGAUUAGUAUAAUUUCUUAUUUGGAACUCCUCAGUUGAAUCUAAGGGACUGGUGCACUUAAAAUACAGACGUUUAUAGGGGUUUUCCUGCGACUUGAAAAAUAAAACAUAGUAACCUAACAUGAUAGAAACUUGUCUUGUUGUCCAAGCUUGGUGAAAAUCUUGUGAGAAUGAAGCAUAGAAAUAGAUAACUACGAGUUUGAUUGUUGAAUGGAAACGGCACGAAUCCAGCUUAAAAUACGAAAAAUUGGAAAUGAUAAGACAAAGCGGUGCUUUCUACGGUAGGUACUAAGUGUUUAUGUGUUUUCAAACAUAUUUUUGUCAACUUGCAGUGAUUUAAGUGCGGGGAAAAUCAUAAGAGAAAGCCGAAUUCGCUGUUUACGACCGACUUCUAACUACAAGUUUUAUCGGCAAACGUCAAGAUUUACAGCAAAAAUACAAACGACAGUCUCAUUCCUAUAUGUAAUUGAAGUAGCCUAAUAUCAAACACAAGUUUAAUGGUAGGAAUUACAGUGCUCUUGUAAGUGGUUCGUUUGCUUUUUGUUUUUCGUUUCUUCGUAGCACAUUUUACGUGUUUUUCUACAAUUGAGUCCCAACUCUACACUAAAAGCGGCCGGGCAAAGAAAACAGGGCUAGCACUUUCUACGCUGA